CCCUUAGAUGUUCUGGGCCGCACGCGCGCUACACUGACAGAGCCAACGAGCUCUUUGCCUUGGCCGGAAGGUCUGGGUAAUCUUGUUAAACUCUGUCGUGCUGGGGAUAGAGCAUUGCAAUUAUUGCUCUUCAACGAGGAAUGCCUAGUAAGCGCGUGUCAUCAGCAUGCGUUGAUUACGUCCCUGCCCUUUGUACACACCGCCCGUCGCUACUACCGAUUGAAUGGCUCAGUGAGGCCUUCGGACUGGCUCGGGGAGGUUGGCAACGACCACCCCAAGCCGGAAAGUUCGUCAAACUCGGUCAUUUAGAGGAAGUAAAAGUCGUAACA
rnacentral:rRNA from 1 species